ACAAUUAUACAGCAAAGUCUCCUGGGAGGGUUUAUAUGUUAAGCUCUGUCAGUAAUUUCUCCCCUAGCAAGAAUGAGGAAGAUGAAGAGCUCGGGUAUCUGAGGGCUGGUGUGUCUGCAUGCGUGUGUGUUUUGGGGGCCGACUGAAGGAAGAGAAGGCUGGAGAGAGGGAACAUGGGUCUGAGGGCACAUCGCUAAGGGGUCAAGAGGCCUAAAGGAGGAGUCUAAGGCUCUCCAUCGAACUUGGACUUGGUCUACAUUAGACUUUAACCUCCAUGAGGCUUGGACUUUCAGGCUUCCUCCCUCACACCGCGGGCAGGUGAGGCGUCUGCUACAGGCCUGGUCUCGCAGAGGGGGCCCAGCGCCCCCCGCCGCCGCCUUCUCCUGGAGUCUGUGUGACAGAAUGGGACCUGUGGGAAAGCAGCACGUCAGCACCCAGCCCCGCUUGCGCGCCAGCAGCUAAUUAAAGCCAGGAAGGUGAUGGCGAUUUUCAACUCAUUCCCGUUACAAACAGCCGACCUUCCUACCGAGUUCAAGUACCUUCUGCCUGGCCUGGAAGAACAAUAUCUCUCUGUCUCCCUCUUCCACUGGCCCUCACCUGCCUUCCCCUGAACAUGCAUUUUGCCUGACAGGAGACAGAGGCAGUUGAGAUGGAGUCUUGCUAUAUGGCCCAGCUGGUAAUGCCUAGAUUCUUGAGUCCCUCCCUGGCUCAUCCCUGGGAGCAGCACUGAACCCCUUGUCUGACACCUGUCUGGAAAUGGAGCCUGCACAUUGACCCUAGCCAUGUGUGGUCUUGUUACUAAGUGUUAGCCAGUGAGAGAACAUACAAGAGGAGGCCCAUGUUGAUUCAGAGGAUGAAUGAGAGAUGCUUGCAGCUUGGUCCAGGAGGCCAGCAGGACCAGAGAGAAGACCACAGCGACACAUGGGGAUGGCUGUCCCACAGGCAGAAAUGAGCAGCCGGGAGGAAGCCCAGGCAGCCAGCCACCCAGCUCCCUCCACAUCGUGGCCCUAGAACGGAGUCUUGAAGAAUAAGAAGCCACAGCUUGUCAGGGAAUCAGGCUGGAAAAAUGUUAUGAGACUGAGUAAGACCAGAGAUUCCUCAGCAGUGCCUGGAGAAGACCAGGAGAGGAAGCAGAAGACCCUCCUCAAAGAAGCAGCCUUCACCUCCAGACCUCCCAGCGGGACUUAGACAAUGGGGUUAGGCAGUCACAUGUCUGCACGUGGAAACUUUCUGGGACUGUGCUUGGAUCCUGGCUCUGCCUUUUACUAGCCAUGUGACCUUGGGAAAAUCACUUGACUUCUCCGUGCAGGAUUCCUCAUCUGUAAAAAUGGUCUAAGAUUAGGAGCCACCUCAAGGUUGUUGUAGGAAUUAAAUUAAUUCAUGUUUAUAAAGUGCUUUGAACAGCGUUUGGCACAUGGUAAGUGCUAUGUGGUAAGUGCUGUCUAUUGAUUACAUAAAUAAAAGUGAUCACCAUUAGACUUUCCAUGCAGAUGAUAUUAUGCAUAUACAUAUCUCCCGCAUAUGACGUCAUUGGAUCGUUUUGCAAUGGUGGGGGGUUUAUUCUUUUCCUUUUUGUUUUCUUCUUUUUUUUGUCAGAUGAAGAAACUGAUGGGAAGUGAAUUGGUUUGUAUUAAACAUUAGGUUUGCUA
rnacentral:lncRNA from 1 species